GACGUAGGGCGCGAGCGUUGUCCGGAUUUAUUGGGCGUAAAGAGCUCGUAGGCGGCUUGUCGCGUCGACUGUGAAAUCCCGCGGCUCAACCGCGGGUCUGCAGUCGAUACGGGCAGGCUAGAGUUCGGUAGGGGAGACUGGAAUCCUGGUGUAGCGGUGAAAUGCGCAGAUAUCAGGAGGAACACCGAUGGCGAAGGCAGGUCUCUGGGCCGAAUA
rnacentral:rRNA from 1 species